AUGUUUGUAUACAAGAGAGCGAAGAAGCUAUAUUUGGGAAGUUCUAUUUUGAGAAGCAAAUGUUGGCAAUGACUGUCUUGCUUGUAUUUGUGACCAGCUAACAAGAAGCAGCAGCCAGAAACUGGACAACGUUGCAAACAUAAAAAGAACAGUCAAAUCUAUGCGUUAUCUCUGUGGAAAGAAAGAGGCAUACCUCAGGAGAUUUUGUGACUGGUUCCAGAUCACUGCAAUAAAGAGAAUAUCACAAUAAAGCAUUUAUCACUAGGAACUUUCAUCUUAGAAUGGCUCUGCUGCAUCCCAUAAGUUUUGAAGAUUUGCAUUUGCUUCACUGAGCCAAAGUUUGGUGACCCAUGAUGGGACCUGCUGAGACACCAUACUCACUCCAGAGCCUGCAGAUGGGAUCCUGGAAGACUGGUAGAAGCUGGCAAAAAGUAAAAAUUCUUACCAAAGUCAGCUCUCCCAAAUCUCUCUCUCUAUGCCCAGUUUAAAGGAGAAGGUCUAACUUUGGGAGCCCACCUGCAAGACUGCCUCCUGAAAUGAGACACAACUGUUUAACUGAACUGACCUAUUUCAAGACUAAUACUGGUUCAAUGAGAUAGAUAUGGAGAAGUCUUUCAACUCAACUUCUGUACUAUGAAAUUCCUUGAAGAAAUUUCAACAGCUGGGCUGGAGGUGAACAGAAUACGCCACCCUGAAAUAUGCCUCUUUGGCAUAUGGAUUUUCUUGAGCUGGUUACUUUUAAGAAACAGCAGACACAGGAGAAGCUCUGAAAACCAGUAGAAGUUAUGCUUUUGUAAGAGACAUUCACAUUAAUAAGUAGAAAAGAAAUUGCGGUUGCUAUUUGCCUUUGAAUGGCAAGACUCCAAUUCCAAAACAAGAAGUCAGUACUGCUGGAUGGUGCUGCCACAAGGAUUUAAAAAUUCCCUCACCCUCUUCAACGAGACUUUGGCUAAAGAUUUAUGAGGAUUAUACGUGGAUCAAGGUUGAGUAGAGGCCUUCCCAGCCAGAAUGGAAAAAGCAUCAGAAGUGACAAAAGCCCUUCUUAAGGACAUUAUUCCUAGGUACGGCCUUCCCUCUACUAUUCAGAGUGACAAUGGAUCUGCUUUUGUCACAGAAAUAACACAAACAGUAAAUAAAGCUUUAGGUAUAAAAUGGAAACUUCAUUCAUCAUGGAGACCCCAAUCUACAGGAAAGGCCGAGAAGAUGAAUCACACCCUGAAGAAAACUCUCACCAAGCUAUGGAGGAAACUCAUCUAAAAUGGGACAAGGUCUUGCCAAUUGCUCUCCUCCAUAUACAGUUGGCCCCUAGAAGCAGGCUAGGAUUGAGCCCUUACAAAAUUAUAUAUGGGAGACAAUUCUUAGCUUCUAAGAGUAAAGAAAGAGAAACGUUUCUCAUGCAGGAGGUAAAAAUUAAACAGUAUGUACAACAGAUUGACCAACUGUUAACUGCUUCUCAUGAGUUUGUGUCCCAGAGGUCUCCCCCUCACCUGGAAGUUCCCUUGCAUCCCUUCAAAGCAGAAUACUGGGUGCUGCUGGAAAUGUGGAAAGAGCAAGGACCUGAGCAGCAGCUUGAAGAGAAAUGGAAGGGACCCUAUGACAUUCUUCUUACUACUCAUGCCUCUCAAAUUGUAUGGAAUAAAACCAUGGGUACAUCACACUAGAGUAAAAAGAUUAUCAGAGACUGACCAGCCAGGCCUGCCUAUAGCCAGUGAGCAGAUUCCCAAGAAGUGGACAUCUCACCUUUUGGGAAACCUUAAGUAUUUGUUCUGGCAAGCGAAAUGAAAGUUCUGUUUUCUUAUCCUUUCUCAUACCUUUUACCUUUCCCCACAAAACUAUAGAUUCAUAUGCUGAUUCUUUCAGUAAUUCUAACUGCUGGAUAUGUGGUCAGCUUCCUAUUUCUGGGUCUUCAGGAUUGCCUUGGUGGGUUUGCCCCCUUACAGGGAAUGGUGUGGAAAUAACUGGCAACAAGUCUCCCCAAACCAGUUCCAGACUGGGUUUCAGACUUAUUUUCCUGAAUUCCUAAGAGAAUGAGACAUAUUUUUGUCUACUAAAGUUCCAAUUGUCACUCCUCCUACCUCUAACUGGGUCUGUUGUGCCAAAAUGGCAGACAAAGAAAUUGAGAUCUUAAUCAUACAAAACUCAGAUCUAGGACUUGGACCUCAAAUAUUUCUAAUUCAGUAUCCAUUCCCCCAAAUUUAGGCAGACUACACCCCAUUUCAGCAGGAAGUAGCCAGAGCAAUCAUUGCCCUGUCCCUGAAAGAUUUGGGGAAAGAGAAAAUCUAAGUGGGGAUUAAAACCAAGUCUCCCUAAAACAGAGUUCCUCUGCCAAGUUUAUGAUUAACAUCUCUAUCCAAAAUGAUUAUUCAUUUUCUUGUCCAACAUCUGUUCUCCUCAAGAUUGAGGAGUAUCAAAGAAAAAGGGAGAGUGAAACUGAGCAGGACCCUGUUGUCUCCUGGGCACAGAAGCCUGUCUGUGUCUCCUGUUUCUUGUUUGUAGGGAAUAGACUCUAGCCUACAUGACCUUCCCUGAGUUCCAAAGAGCCGAUUUGAACAGUUGCUAAUCAGGAGGGGAUGCAGAGACAAGGGAGGAGCACCAAGAAACAAUAGUGCAGCCUUGGGGCAGGGUUUUGGUUCCAUCUUAAGGGAUAACAAUAUCUUUGAGCUAUUUACAGAACUAAAACCCCCAACAAAUGGAAGAUGUCAGCGUUCUUUAUUCCAGAGAAGACCACCUGAGGCCAGAUUAAAGGAACCAGAGAAACUCACCAAGAGAUUACCAGAUUAAAGGAGUGCUGGCCCUGCACACACCCUAAUCUUAUCAGCAACCCUGCUCUUGAGGCAUUGCUAUAAAGCUCCUCAUGAAAUCCUCCCAGGUUGGGACACAUAGUUUUGAGGAGCAUGAGCCCACUGUGUCCCCCUUUGUCUGGCAAAGCAAUAAAGCUAUUCUUUCCUACUUCACCCGGAACUCUGUCUCCAAGAUUCAAUUCGGCACCAGUGCACAGAGGCCAAGUUUUUGACAUCAUUAUCAAUGGAGAAAGCACUUCUUAAAUACGCAUAACAAACCUUAAUAAGCAAUUCUUGUUUACCAUGCUUUCCCUGGUCACAUUCCCUUAACUGCCUCCCUUGCUCAGAAGCUGCAAACUCCUUUACCUCCGUUUAGCUUGAGAUAAACCAAAGUUCUAAUCACCCCUCUGAGUUACUCGUUAGGUGCUCCCAUGUGUACACUCAUGAUACAAAUAUUAAUA